AUUGAACGCUGGCGGCAUGCCUUACACAUGCAAGUCGAACGGUAACGGGCCUUCGGGUGCCGACGAGUGGCGAACGGGUGAGUAAUACAUCGGAACGUGCCCGAUCGUGGGGGAUAACGAGGCGAAAGCUUUGCUAAUACCGCAUACGAUCUACUGAUGAAAGCAGGGGACCGCAAGGCCUUGCGCGGACGGAGCGGCCGAUGGCAGAUUAGGUAGUUGGUGGGAUAAAAGCUUACCAAGCCGACGAUCUGUAGCUGGUCUGAGAGGAUGAUCAGCCACACUGGGACUGAGACACGGCCCAGACUCCUACGGGAGGCAGCAGUGGGGAAUUUUGGACAAUGGGCGCAAGCCUGAUCCAGCCAUGCCGCGUGCAGGAUGAAGGCCUUCGGGUUGUAAACUGCUUCUGUACGGAACGAAAAGCCUUCUUUUAAUACAGGAGGGUCAUGACGGUACCGUAAGAAUAAGCACCGGCUAACUACGUG
rnacentral:rRNA from 1 species